GAUCCUGGCUCAGAUUGAACGCUGGCGGCAGGCUUAACACAUGCAAGUCGAACGGUAGCAGGAGAAAGCUUGCUUUCUUGCUGACGAGUGGCGGACGGGUGAGUAAUGCUUGGGAAUCUGGCUUAUGGAGGGGGAUAACUACGGGAAACUGUAGCUAAUACCGCGUAGUAUCGGAAGAUGAAAGUGCGGGACCGUAAGGCCGCAUGCCAUGAGAUGAGCCCAAGUGGGAUUAGGUAG
rnacentral:rRNA from 1 species